rnacentral:misc_RNA from 1 species
AAGUCGUAACAAGGUUUCCGUAGGUGAACCUGCGGAAGGAUCAUUAAAGAUUUUGUUUUUUGGGGUUUUUCCUGAAAAAUUAUUCACCUUUUGUGCAUUGUUAUUAGAUAUACUUUGGUUAGAGCUUUGAUUUCAUUCAUUGGAAUCAACUUCUUGCUGACUCUAUCCUUUCAGAGGACAGUUGGCUAUGAAGCGGCCUACCAAGGUUUUUUAUCAAACACAUUUAAUUUAUCUGACCUAAAACAAAUAAUUAAAUCAUAACUUUCAACAACGGAUCUCUUGGCUCUC